GGGAAGCCCAUGGUGGCAUCUGGGCUCUGAAGGUUUUCCUGAGGAGCUGUGUGGUGCCGUGUGUUCUAAAAAUAAAGUUCGUUUCUUUUGACAAGUGGUUCCUGAAUUGUGCCCAGCCAGACUGUGGCACAUGUGUGUUCAUAGACGUGUAUAUGUGUGUAUACAUAUACACAUAUACACAAUGGGAUAGUAUUCAACCAUAAGAAAGAGUGAAACAAUGUCAUUUGCUGGAAAAUAGAAUAAGAGGUCAUCAAGUUAAGCUAAAUAAGCAAGACACAGAAAGGCUCAGUCAACGGAACUGCUUGCACCAGCUUUCAACAUACAGUUUCUGCUAUUUAUUCAUUCAACUACUCAUCUUCUGCCGAGUAAAAUAUCUACCCCAAGACAUACUGACCAUGCAGUACUAAUCACAGGGUAGAACUUUCCAGAUGAAACCUUGGAUUAAUUACUGCUGGAAGAUAAUGGAACAAGAAUCCACAUGAGGAUGGCAUGGUUACUUGAUGCACCGUUAUCCUUGACCUGUAAAUUACACUGAGGAAGAACAUUCUGUCGGCUCGACCUUGGCUUUCUGGCAAACCCAGACCUAAGACAGACUUCAUAUCCUGUGGGUUUUGCACCCCCUGCCUUGUCAAGUCACCAAAGCUCUCAGUCACUUGUCUGGAGUUCGGGCUUGUUUGUGUUGCCAUGACAACUAGUUAAAGGCAAUCCAUCCAACAGUUAUUCUGUUCCUUGGGGAAAAAUAAAUUACCCAAUUCAUUGUUAGAGGUGGGAGUUUUGAGCUCCAAUUUUAAAAUUAGUUCAUUUUAGAAGAUGAAAAAGGCCAUUUCAGUGAGGAGAAAAGAAGGGGAAGUCUAAGAGAUCUGGUUCAAUCGGAAGGGAUAUUUUCAACAUUAUAAAGAAGGGAGAACUAUAAUGAGAUCCGUUUAGAAAAGUGGAAGGUACUCUGACCUGGGAACAUGAAGGAUCUAACCUAAAGUUUUUUUGAAAAUUUUGUCAGAAAUCUGUUAAGAUGGAAUCAGUUAGUAGAAGAAAGGACUGGAAAUGGAGCUCCAAAUCCAAAGUGUCUUUCACUAAGUCGUGUGGGGGGACAUACACAGCUGGGCUCACAUCUGGGACAGGAAAAACCUUUCCCUUCUCAGGUUGUGUUUUUAGCUCAGCUGUGUUUAGCUCAGGCUCAUCUUACAAUUUAGCUCUAGGAAACAAUGAGGAGAGCUGGAGAGAUGUGGAACACAUGGUGUGUGGCUAAAAACCACAACGCUUAGGGAAAAGGUCUGCCAUCCACUUACUCAUGAAGCUGCUUCCCUAUCCCCCCUACUGCCAAAGAUCUUUCAGGAAAAGCCUGUGAUGGAUGAGUGGUGUAAGGAGUAAUAAAAUGGCUGAACUUUCUUUUACUUUUGGGAGAAAGGCCAACAAGCUCAGCAAGGCUGGCGUUCUUCAUGGCCCACCUCUCACACACAUCUGGCAUCACACUUCUCCCUCAAUCUCAGCUCUAACCGCAUGAGCCUUCUUUCAGUUCCUAGGUCAGCAGGCCACCCUGUCUGAGAUGUCUAAACUCCUACACGCUCCCCACAGCUCAGUUGAGUCCCACUUCCUCAGCAGAGUCUGCCCUGACCCCUCCAGUCUAGGUCAAGUUCCUUUGUUCUACUUCUCCUGGGACAAUGCCCCUUUCUUUUAAAAGAUUCUGUCCAUUUCUUUAUUAGAAGAGAAACUUCCAGGGAUCAGGCACUAGUCUGCUUUUGCUGACCACUGAACUCCCAACUUUCAUCUGAGCUUUGUUGAAUAACUGAACAAAAAAUUAUAUUUUUUUCUCCCUCUAUAAUAAAAGGUAAUACCCAAUAGUCAAUGUGGAAGAAUUAGAUGUUAAAUUAUCCAGCUGGGGAAAACUAGAUCUAUUCAUUGGUCAUGAAUUCAAAUCAGAUUAUUAUAGAAAAUAUAUAAAAAGAGACAAAAAGAAUUAUAUGGAGAAAGAUAAAUAAGUCAUGAAAUCUGAUUUGGAAAAUUCCAGGAAGGUAUACCCAUUCAAAUUGAGCUCUGAUGAUGGUGGUGGUGAAGGAGAAGGAGAAGGAGAGAGGGAGAGGAAGAAGAAAAGGAGAAGAGGAGGAGGAAGAGGAGGAGGAAGGGGAACAUCAGCUACAUGUGCAUCUAACCACUUCCUCUUCUUUUUGGGCACAUAGUGUGGACAUAUUUCCAAGUCUUCCUUGGAACUACAGCCAAGUGAGUAGUCCCAGCCAAUGAAGUAUCACUAAAGGAACAGUGUGUUACGCUUCCAAGUCUGGCCAGCAGUCAUUACCACCACCACCACCUCACUAGCUCUUGGAUGCUCUCUCUUCCCUCAUCUGCCAGAUGCAGAGAAUGUAGCCCAGGACACCUGGGCUCUGCAGAAUGGUGGAGUCAGUGGUGAAGCAAGCCCAUGUCCCUGCAUUCCCAAGUAGGAAGCAGCUGCUCGACACUCGCUCAAUGGCAUAUUAUCAGAAUGAAUCAACUUCUAUUGUGUUAAAGCACUGAGCUUUGGAGGUUUGUUUGCUAUAGCAAUUAACAUUAUUUGCCCAAAUAAUAUGUAAGAUAUUAAGGAAAUCACACACACACACACACACACACACACACACAGAGGCACGCAUACUUAUGUAGAUUCAUAAUUGAGCUACCUUUCCUCUUAACACUUUCAGUAAGCAAAAGGAUAUGUAAGUAUAAGGGUAGGUCUGAUGAAUUAAAUCUACUUCCAGCACAGCUGUUCACCCAGUUCUGCUACUCCAUUGCUGCUGUGGUCUUAGAACUACAGGUUGGGACUGGAUCUCAUUUCUGCUUUGUCUAGCUCUUUUCCAAUGUGGAAGGCAAUUCUUGUCAUGGCCAGGUUGUCAACAGCCUUGACCUAAGACCUUCUUUAAUGAAAAUAAAGGAGGAUCCCUUUAGGUAUGCUUCUGAGCAUAUAUUAACUGUUAUCAAGCGCUUUCUUGAGAAGAAUCCCAAAGCCAUGGCUUUUUCAAUGAAUCAUUUUUUCUAACACAAAAAAGUUGUUUUGAAAAAGGUCACUCUCUUUUAUUGCCCCUCCUUGUCCUCUAAUAUGAGUUCAGCUAAAAAUAAAUUGGGAGCAAGAGAGUGGUAGGACAUGAUGACAAAGUUACUUAAUCUGCAGUUGUGGAAAAUGCCAGAAAAUUUGAGAGAAUUCACCUUUUAUGCUAGUGGUAAUUGGGGACUGGGGAGUUAUUUUCUUCCUAAAUGAGCCAUUGAAAGUUAGCCUUUUAUGUCAUAUUUGAUUACUAAAUUAUUUGAAGUAAUAAUAAAUGUCAAUGUCUGUGUCUCACUUUUACAGAUUCUGAUUUUAUUGUUAUGGGUUGGGAUCUGGCCAUCAGAUCCCAACCCAUAAAAAAAAAAAUCGGGUGUAGAUGCAGUCAGAAUAGAAACAGCAAGACACACCUCAAUGUAACUACCAAUAUCAAUGUAAAUUGUCCAUGUAUAGAUAAUAUACCUCAGAGAAUAAACUGUAAUAUGCUUAAGAAGAUAGCUCCUAAAAUCAAGCUGAAUUCAUUGCCUGAAGAAAACUAUCUUUUCUUGCCAUGAUUUCUGCCCGUUCAAGUCUAUAAAGUUGGAGGCUCAUGAAGAGUCUCAGUGAGAAAGGGCUGGCUGGAGGUCAUACAUAAACAAGUCACUUUAUUACACAGAAGACCCAAGCCCCUUUCAGGGACAGAGAUGUGAGUUGCAUGAGAACUGAGGUGACCAUACCAUUUCCAGCUCUGGCCCAACACUGACAAUACUGGCCCCAGGACCUUAGGCUAUAACUCCUCUCACUGACAGUGUUAUGGUUUAGAUAUGAGGUGUCCCUCAAAAGCUCAUGUGUGAGACAAUGCAAGAAAGUUUGGAGGUGAAAUGAUUGGGUUAGGAGUACCUUAACCUAAUCGGUGUGUUGAUCCCUUGAUAGGGAUUAACUGGGUGGUUAACUGCAAGCAGGUAGGGUGUGGCUGGAAAAGGUGGGUCAUUAGGGGUGUGCCUUUGGAGUAUAUAUUUUGUCCCUAGUCUGUAAUGUGUCUCUCUCUCUGCUUCCUGAUUGCCAUGUCCUGAGCUGCUUUCCUCCUCCACACUCUUGGGCCAUGAUGUUCUGCCUCACCUUUGACCCAGAGCAAGGGAGUUAACCAUCUAUGGAAUGAGACCUCUGAAACCAUAAGAACCAAAAUAAACUUUUCCUCCUCUAGAAUUGCUCUUGUCAGGUCUUUUGAUCACAGUAGUGAAACAGCUGACUAUAAGAGAUAGUAAACACAACCAAAUGAGAGGCUAGGAAAACUGCUCACAUACCUAUAUGUGAAGGGGAUGCCCCUCAAGAAGACUUGAAUACCCCUUUGCUUAAUUAAUAAGGUGCAUAUGCCCCAUACAUGUAGGCUUCACAUCAAGGGUAGACUGGCAGCUACUCUUGCUUCAGAACAUUAGUGAAACGAUUGGUUAGAUCCAUGAUUGAGCUGCAAUUUCUCCACUAGCACAAUGAGAAAGGAAGGUUCAACUUGGGUAUCUUUAAAAUCUCUUUGUUCUAUCAAAAGAAACUUCUCUCUGCCUCUAGAGCUGUCUGCCAGCUGCUCAGAGUUGCUUAAAGCUAACAGACACCACAGCUGGGCUUCCUGUGAUGUGGACCAGUGCCCACCAGAGGGACUAGAGGCACACUCACUUGCAGUCCCCAGUCCUGACUACUUCUCUGUGGAAGUUUCAAGACUCUGCCACUUCUGUUUUUCUUUGUAAGAAUCUUCCAUCACACCAAAUGGAGAGGAUGUUUAAGACUACACUUAGCAUCAUCUUUGCCCUACACUAUCCAUACAGAUGAUACUCGGAUGCAGUGCCUCAGGAAAUCCCAAAUGUCUAAUUAUCAGGGUGGGUGGCUGAGCACAGAAACCCACUUCAAUUUUACUUUCUUUCCUCCAGAGUUCAAUAUGUAUUAAGAGUGUGGACGAAAAGGAACCAGUUAACCUCAGCUAUUCUUCCUUGCUUUUUGCCGUUUCUGCUUUGCCUCACAGUCAGCCAGAUUUAUUUACUCCUCAAAGAAAUCACCGGGCUUUUAGAUGUAUCACAUGGAUAAGGUAGUUCUGCCAGCUAACAGCAGCUCUUGGAAAGCAGAGGGAAGGAAUGAUUCUAAAAUGCAGUCAGUGCAGGCUUGACUUCUUGCCCCCAAACUUUAACAAGUGGUUCGUGGGAACCUUGGAUAGAAAGGCAGGAUUCAGGUCCCCACUUCUCACCAGCAGCCAAAUUCGUAAUGCUGAGUGCAAUGUGAAGUGAAGAAAGUGAGUUUCAUCAGGUGGGAGGAGAGGGAGACAUUACAGCACUGCCUGCUCAUGCUGAAUCCAUCUGAUUUUGUCUGAAACUAGGGAAGAUGGAAAACAAUUCUCAAAGAGGGAAUCACUGUAGGUGUUCUACCUUUUCCUGAAUAAGGAAAGGGCAUAAGAUUGUUAUUUCUGAAGGGCAUAAGAUUUUUAUCCCUUAUGCUGUCCAAAAACUUUGAUAAUAGGAUACACAUGAUUAGGCUGCAUAUAGAACUGAGGUGAGGAAACAGAGUAGGGGAGAAGGCAGUGGAAAUAGAGCCUGGAAUAGGAACAAAACUAGGGUACUUGAUUGGUUUAGAAGACCAUAGGGUUUGUCUUGUCUUUGUGCCAACAUCACUAGAGCUGAUCCAUUCAGUAUACACUAAAAAGCAUC